CCUACGGGAGGCAGCAGUGAGGAAUAUUGGUCAAUGGCCGAGAGUCUGAACCAGCCAAGUCGCGUGAGGGAAGACGGCCCUACGGGUUGUAAACCUCUUUUGUCGGGGAGCAAAGAGAGUCACGCGUGACUGAUUGAGAGUACCCGAAGAAAAAGCAUCGGCUAACUCCGUGCCAGCAGCCGCGGUAAUACGGAGGAUUCAAGCGUUAUCCGGAUUUAUUGGGUUUAAAGGGGGCGCAGGCGGAGGGCCAAGUAAGCGGUAAAAUUGCGGGGCCAAACCCCGUACUGCCGUUGAAACUGCAUCCCUUGAGUGCGCGAGAAGUAUGCGGAAUGCGUGGUGUAGCGGUGAAAUGCAUAGAUAUCACGCAGAACUCCGAUUGCGAAGGCAGCAUACCGGCGCGCAACUGACGCUCAUGCACGAAAGCGUGGGUAUCGAACAGGAUUAGAUACCCUUGUAGUC
rnacentral:rRNA from 1 species